UUCUCUGUGCCUGAGUCAUCUCAAGUGUAGUAUCUGUUUUUAGUUUAAUAUCUGAUACGAACUCUAUCCAAGAACAAUAUAUUAAAUGGAGUUUUGGAACAGGGCGAUGGACUAGGGGCUUGCUCUGUCCACUCCAUGCAUUGACCUGGUAUUGUAAUACCUCCAGGAAUGGUGCACUUUCC